AGGUGAGGAAGAGAGUGGUAGCUGAAUGACCACUGUUGUGACUGACUGACUGACUGUUGUUACCUCAUCCCAAUGGAAACUGAACUUGGAAAAGUAUUGAACUCUUGGAACUUCUUACUGCUUAGAGAAUUGUGGUGCACUGAGCGCUAUUGAUAUCACCAGGAACCAAACCUUUAUUGUACAAAAUGACCCUCUUACAGCACAAUCCUCCACAUGUCUACUUGGAAGCGCUACUAUGUUCUAUGAAGCUUACUCCCAGGUAAGUGAUCAUAGGUUUGUAGCUUUAGUUAUCAGCCAAGCAAUCAAUGGAUUCAUAAAUCUUUCUAUGGCACAUUGCCCUCACAGUUGUACUGCAUGAUAGGUCAUGCCUUUGCAAAUAGCCUUCCAGUUCAUCCAGGUUUCUAAUUAACCAUGUGCAUUGGAUCUUUAGAAUAUAUAAACGAUGCAGCAUUAACUUCAUGUAGGCUCUAGCAGUGAUGUGUUUUCAUGUGUAGGUGUGUCAUUAAAAGGCUUCCUUGAAGGACAACUUUGUGAUGUAAACAUAAGAUGGGCGAGUCCUUAAAUGAGCAGUGGCACCAAUGCAUUAUGAUAAGCUAGUUGUUUGUUUACAGUUCUCUGUCCUGGCAAACUGAUGUCUUCAACUGCACUAGAUAGAAGCUUGAAAUAAUUCUGCUGCACAGGCAGAAGCAACACUCGGAAGUUGACCACAGGCCAGC